rnacentral:rRNA from 1 species
GUGGCGAACGGGUGAGUAACACGUGAGUAACCUGCCCUUAACUCUGGGAUAAGCCUGGGAAACUGGGUCUAAUACCGGAUAUGACUCCUCAUCGCAUGGUGGGGGGUGGAAAGCUUUAUUGUGGUUUUGGAUGGACUCGCGGCCUAUCAGCUUGUUGGUGAGGUAAUGGCUCACCAAGGCGACGACGGGUAGCCGGCCUGAGAGGGUGACCGGCCACACUGGGACUGAGACACGGCCCAGACUCCUACGGGAGGCAGCAGUGGGGAAUAUUGCACAAUGGGCGAAAGCCUGAUGCAGCGACGCCGCGUGAGGGAUGACGGCCUUCGGGUUGUAAACCUCUUUCAGUAGGGAAGAAGCGAAAGUGACGGUACCUGCAGAAGAAGCGCCGGCUAACUACGUGCCAGCAGCCGCGGUAAUACGUAGGGCGCAAGCGUUAUCCGGAAUUAUUGGGCGUAAAGAGCUCGUAGGCGGUUUGUCGCGUCUGCCGUGAAAGUCCGGGGCUCAACUCCGGAUCUGCGGUGGGUACGGGCAGACUAGAGUGAUGUAGGGGAGACUGGAAUUCCUGGUGUAGCGGUGAAAUGCGCAGAUAUCAGGAGGAACACCGAUGGCGAAGGCAGGUCUCUGGGCAUUAACUGACGCUGAGGAGCGAAAGCAUGGGGAGCGAACAGGAUUAGAUACCCUGGUAGUCCAUGCCGUAAACGUUGGGCACUAGGUGUGGGGGACAUUCCACGUUUUCCGCGCCGUAGCUAACGCAUUAAGUGCCCCNCCUGGGGAGUACGGCCGCAAGGCUAAAACUCAAAGNAAUUGACGGGGGCCCGCAC